CUGACACAGGGGAGUGAAAUAAAUUGAACGAAGGCUCUGAAGAUUUGUGUUACACUAGUAGCUUCUUGCAACAGUUCACCAGUGAUUUCAAGAGGGAAUUCCAGAAAAACUAGAAAGGAAAAAAAUCUGCUACAAACUACCAGGUUUGGAGGUUCAGAGAGGGACAGCUUCCCCUCCUGUGAAGAAUUAAUGUGACUGGGUGUCAGGACACAGGAGGGUGCAUGUAAAGCACAUAUUUGCAAGCUCAGCCUUCUUGAAGAGCAGAAAUUGCAGGAGGCCAAUACAUUUUCCUCAUGAAUACAGGGAUCUGCACUGCUGGUGAUGUAUCAUUUUUAUUAGGAGUUGGGCCCAAGCCACCGAGUUCUCCUGCAGAUCCAAAUUUCCCUUAAGCCCCUCUCUAAUUGCUAUGUAGUAUCUUAAAGAUACACAAGACUUGUCACUUCAACUUGGGCCUGGAACAAGGACCCCUUUCUGCCUGUAACUAAAAUUAUUUGAGGACAAAAGAAAAAAUAAA